rfam:Ornithorhynchus anatinus chromosome 1, whole genome shotgun sequence.
CCCCUCUCAGGAUCGCACCUGGAGAGUUUCCAGUACUCUACCAGUCUCAGCUACGGGAGGGAGAAUCAAGCAGAAGCAUACCCAUUCCAUUCCUAGCUUGGGCAAUGGCCAGCGAGUGGAAGGCAAUCUGCUACAAGU